UACGGAGGGAGCUAGCGUUGUUCGGAAUUACUGGGCGUAAAGCGCACGUAGGCGGCUUUGUAAGUUAGAGGUGAAAGCCUGGAGCUCAACUCCAGAAUUGCCUUUAAGACUGCAUCGCUUGAAUCCAGGAGAGGUGAGUGGAAUUCCGAGUGUAGAGGUGAAAUUCGUAGAUAUUCGGAAGAACACCAGUGGCGAAGGCGGCUCACUGGCCCGGUACUGACGCUGAGGCGCGAAAGCGUGGGGAGCAAACAGG
rnacentral:rRNA from 1 species